AGGAACCCAGUUGGUUCAGAGAUGCAGGCAGAGGGGAGGGGACAUGAGCGGAUGAUAGACCUUCAUGGUCUGCAUGUAAGUGAAGCCAUUCAUGUGCUAAAGCAUGAAGUAAGUGUUCUGAGGAGCACAGCCCGGGCAGCAGAACAGCAUUUGCAGGUUUAUAUAUUUGUUGGAACAGGUCAUAUCACCAGGGGUUCUCGCACUCCAGCAAGACU
rnacentral:misc_RNA from 1 species